rnacentral:rRNA from 1 species
GUGCCAGCAGCCGCGGUAAUACAGAGGUCCCGAGCGUUGUUCGGAUUCACCGGGCGUAAAGGGUGCGUAGGUGGCUUCGCAAGUUCGAUGUGAAAUCUCCGGGCUUAACCCGGAAAAGGCAUUGAAUACUGCGUGAGCUCGAGGGUUGGAGGGGGGACUGGAAUUCUCGGUGUAGCAGUGAAAUGCGUAGAUAUCGAGAGGAACACCAGUGGCGAAGGCGAGUCCCUGGACAACCCCUGACACUGAGGCACGAAAGCUGGGGAAGCAAACAGGAUUAGAUACCCCGGUAGUCC